GGCUCAGAUUGAACGCUGGCGGCAUGCCUUACACAUGCAAGUCGAACGGCAGCACGGGGGCAACCCUGGUGGCGAGUGGCGAACGGGUGAGUAAUGCAUCGGAACGUGCCCGGUCGUGGGGAUAACGCAGCGAAAGCUGCGCUAAUACCGCAUACGAUCUGAGGAUGAAAGCGGGGGACCGUAAGGCCUCGCGCGAUCGGAGCGGCCGAUGUCAGAUUAGGUAGUUGGUGGGGUAAAGGCUCACCAAGCCGACGAUCUGUAGCUGGUCUGAGAGGACGACCAGCCACACUGGGACUGAGACACGGCCCAGACUCCUACGGGAGGCAGCAGUGGGGAAUUUUGGACAAUGGGCGCAAGCCUGAUCCAGCCAUGCCGCGUGUGGGAAGAAGGCCUUCGGGUUGUAAACUGCUUUUGUACGGAACGAAACGGUGAGCUCUAAUACAGUUUGCUAAUGACGGUACCGUAAGAAUAAGCACCGGCUAACUACGUG
rnacentral:rRNA from 1 species